GAUGAACGCUGGCGGCGUGCCUAAUACAUGCAAGUCGAGCGAACGGACGAGAAGCUUUCUUCUCUGAUGUUAGCGGCGGACGGGCGAGUAACACGUGGAUAACCUACCUAUAAGACUGGGAUAACUUCGGGAAACCGGAGCUAAUACCGGAUAAUAUUUUGAACCGCAUGGUUCAAAAGUGAAAGACGGUUUUGCUGUCACUUAUAGAUGGAUCCGCGCUGCAUUAGCUAGUUGGUAAGGUAACGGCUUACCAAGGCAACGAUGCAUAGCCGACCUGAGAGGAUGAUCAGCCACACUGGAACUGAGACACGGUCCAGACUCCUACGGGAGGCAGCAGUAGGGAAUCUUGCACAAUGGGCGAAAGCCUGACGGAGCAACGCCGCGUGAGUGAUGAAGGUCUUCGGAUCGUAAAACUCUGUUAUUAGGGAAGAAAAUAUGUGUAAGUAACUGUGCACAUCUUGACGGUACCUAAUCAGAAAGCCACGGCUAACUUCGUG
rnacentral:rRNA from 1 species